rfam:Bacteroides sp. 43_108 Ley3_66761_scaffold_113, whole genome shotgun sequence.
GGGUACAUUCCAGAGUGGCCAAAUGGGGCAGACUGUAAAUCUGCUGGCUUUCGCCUUCGGUGGUUCGAAUCCAUCUGUACCCA